rnacentral:rRNA from 1 species
AGCGAACGCUGGCGGCAGGCCUAACACAUGCAAGUCGAACGAAGUCUUCGGACUUAGUGGCGGACGGGUGAGUAACACGUGGGAACGUACCUUUUGGUUCGGAACAACUCAGGGAAACUUGAGCUAAUACCGGAUGAGCCCUUAGGGGGAAAGAUUUAUCGCCGAAAGAGCGGCUCGCGUUAGAUUAGCUAGUUGGUGAGGUAAAGGCUCACCAAGGCUACGAUCUAUAGCUGGUCUGAGAGGAUGAUCAGCCACACUGGGACUGAGGCACGGCCCAGACUCCUACGGGAGGCAGCAGUGGGGAAUCUUGCGCAAUGGGCGAAAGCCUGACGCAGCCACGCCGCGUGAAUGAUGAAGGUCUUAGGAUUGUAAAAUUCUUUUACCAGGGACGAUAAUGACGGUACCUGGAGAAAAAGCCCCGGCUAACUUCGUGCCAGCCGCCGCCGUAAUAC